rnacentral:rRNA from 1 species
GUCUAUGGCCAUACCACCCUGAACCCACCCACUCUUGUCUGAUCUUGGAAGCUAAGCAGGGUCUGGCCUGAUUAGUACUUGGAAGGGAGAAAUGACACCUGCCACUUCCC